GACGAACGCUGGCGGCGUGCUUAACACAUGCCAGUCGAACGGCAAGGCCCUGCUUUUGUGGGGUGCUCGAGUGGCGAACGGGUGAGUAACACGUGAGUAACCUGCCCUUGACUUUGGGAUAACUUCAGGAAACUGGGGCUAAUACCGGAUCGGAGCUCCUGCUGCAUGGUGGGGGUUGGAACGUUUCGGCGGUUGGGGAUGGACUCGCGGCUUAUCAGCUUGUUGGUGGGGUAGUGGCUUACCAAGGCUUUGACGGGUAGCCGGCCUGAGAGGGUGACCGGCCACAUUGGGACUGAGAGACGGCCCAGACUCCUACGGGAGGCAGCAGUGGGGAAUAUUGCACAAUGGGCGGAAGCCUGAGGCAGCAACGCCGCGUGCGGGAUGACGGCCUUCGGGUUGUAAACCGCUUUCGCCUGUGACGAAGCGGGAGUGACGGUAAUGGGUAAAGAAGCACCGGCUAACUACGUG
rnacentral:rRNA from 1 species